rnacentral:rRNA from 1 species
CCUACGGGAGGCAGCAGUGGGGAAUUUUGGACAAUGGGCGCAAGCCUGAUCCAGCCAUGCCGCGUGCGGGAAGAAGGCCUUCGGGUUGUAAACCGCUUUUGUCAGGGAAGAAAAGGUUCUGGCUAAUACCUGGGACUCAUGACGGUACCUGAAGAAUAAGCACCGGCUAACUACGUGCCAGCAGCCGCGGUAAUACGUAGGGUGCAAGCGUUAAUCGGAAUUACUGGGCGUAAAGUGUGCGCAGGCGGUUAUGCAAGACAGAGGUGAAAUCCCCGGGCUCAACCUGGGAACUGCCUUUGUGACUGCAUAGCUAGAGUACGGUAGAGGGGGAUGGAAUUCCGCGUGUAGCAGUGAAAUGCGUAGAUAUGCGGAGGAACACCGAUGGCGAAGGCAAUCCCCUGGACCUGUACUGACGCUCAUGCACGAAAGCGUGGGGAGCAAACAGGAUUAGAUACCCUGGUAGUCCACGCCCUAAACGAUGUCAACUGGUUGUUGGGAGGGUUUCUUCUCAGUAACGUAGCUAACGCGUGAAGUUGACCGCCUGGGGAGUACGGCCGCAAGGUUGAAACUCAAAGGAUUGACGG